AACGUAGGACACAAGCGUUUAUCCGGAGUUACUGGGCGUAAAGCGUGCGCAGGCGGUUUUGUAAGUCUGUCGUGAAAGCCCCGGGCUCAACCUGGGAAUUGCGAUGGAGACUGCAAGGCUUGAAUCUGGCAGAGGGGGGGUAGAAUUCCACGUGUAACAGUGAAAUGCGUAGAGAUGUGGAGGAACACCGAUGGCGAAGGCAGCCCCCUGGGUCAAGAUUGACGCUCAUGCACGAAAGCGUGGGGAGCAACAGG
rnacentral:rRNA from 1 species